AGGCUGAAACCCGCCUGUAUGAAGUUGGAAUCGCUAGUAAUCGCGGAUCAGCAUGCCGCGGUGAAUACGUUCCCGGGCCUUGUACACCACCGCCCGUCACACCAUGAGAGUCGGGAACACCCGAAGUCCGUAGCCUAACUAGCAAUAGGGGGCGCGGCCGAAGGUGGGUUCGAUAAUUGGGGUGAAGUCGUAACAAGGUAAC
rnacentral:rRNA from 1 species